rnacentral:lncRNA from 1 species
UGGUGGGCACCUGCAGUCCCAGCUACUCGGGAGGCUGAGGCAGGAGAAUGGCGUGAACCCAGGAGGCGGAGCUUGCAGUGAGCAGAGAUUGCGCCACUGCACUCCAGCCUGGGCGACAGAGCGAGACUCCGUCUCAAAAAAAAAAAAAAAAAAAAAAAAAGAAAAGUGGUUUUUUUUUUUUUUUUUUUUUUUUUUUUUUUUUUUUUUUUUUUUUUUUUUUUUUUUUUGAGACAGAGUCUCGCUUUGUUGCCCAGGCUGGAG